rnacentral:misc_RNA from 1 species
GAAGUGCCUUCUACAUUACCAGGUUCUACUUAGAGGGAAAACUUAGAUUUGAUUUUUGUCUUUGAAGUUGCUGUUGAUUUGUUGUUGAAACCAUUCAACAUUCUCAUUUUGAAUCUCAGAUUGAAUAGUUGUGAUGUACUACACCUUUGUUUUGAUCAUUUUAGCUUUGCUUUAUAUUUCUUUACAUUUGGUGGUUGGCACCUUAGUGCCAUGGGUGUUGAGUUGAAAGAUCAUGGCUGCAAGGAAUCCUAAAAAGUUUCCUUACUGCAACUUGCUUUUGGCUGCUACAACAGGAUGUAUCAUCCGAAGAGUGAAGACAGAUACAACACAUUGAUCAUGAAAAAACAUUUUGCUUUGAACAUCUUUCUGAAUAUUGCUGUUGCUAGCCCAAAAUUGUUAGGAUGUAGCUUUGUUGCAUGAUCAUCAAAAAUAUGGAGUGCACUUCUGAAAGCCUCUAAACUAGAAUAUGUAGCUUUAUUCCCAUUUGGUUUUGACUAGUGGUUUUUUUCCCAUUGGAAGCUCAACGUUAUAAUGUUUCUAUGGUCCCCCAUCUGAAUUGCAGGUCCUGAUAUGUCUCAUGCAU